GACGAACGCUGGCGGCGUGCUUAACACAUGCAAGUCGAACGAACAGGCCCUGCUUUUGUGCCGUGCUCGAUUGGCGCGGAGGUGUGUGACACAUGAGUAUCCUCCCCUUGUCUUAGUGGGAACUUCACGGGAAUGGGGAUCAUACCGCAUAUAAUCUCUUGCAGCAUAGUGGUGAUUGGUAAAAGUCGGCUUUUGUGUAAGUUCUCGAUGCUUCCCAGCUGCAUUAGCUAGUUGGUAAGGUAACGGCUUAUCAAGGGAACGAUGCGUAGCCGACCUGAGAGGGUGAUCGGCCACACUGGAACUGAGACACGGUCCAGACUCCUACGGGAGGCAGCAGUAGGGAAUCUUCCGCAAUGGGCGAAAGCUUGACGGAGCAACGCCGCGUGAGUGAUGAAGGUCUUCGGAUCGUAAAACUCUGUUAUUAGGGAAGAACAAAUGUGUAAGUAACUAUGCACGUCUUGACGGUACCUAAUCAGAAAGCCACGGCUAACUACGUG
rnacentral:rRNA from 1 species